UACGUAGGGUGCGAGCGUUAAUCGGAAUUACUGGGCGUAAAGCGUGCGCAGGCGGUGAUGUAAGACCGAUGUGAAAUCCCCGGGCUUAACCUGGGAACUGCAUUGGUGACUGCAUCGCUCGAGUAUGGCAGAGGGGGGUAGAAUUCCACGUGUAGCAGUGAAAUGCGUAGAGAUGUGGAGGAACACCGAUGGCGAAGGCAGCCCCCUGGGCCAAUACUGACGCUCAUGCACGAAAGCGUGGGGAGCAAACAGG
rnacentral:rRNA from 1 species